ensembl:lncRNA
CUUAUAUCUAAGGCUUAAUGUAGGGCCUAUUUCUAACCAUUUCUUUACAGUAUGAAAUCAUUGAUGAUCUUCUUCCUUACCCCUCCUCCUGCAUCAACCAGACUGCAUUCAAAGUGACAGAAAACUUGAAGCAAAUAACCAAAUGACAAUCUUUUUUUGUGUUUUCUAAAGUGGUAUUGAUGUAAGGUGUGACUGAAAAUUCUGUGGAUGAUUUGAUAACAGCAACAGCUUUCAAGGUUUUUAGUGGAAUGUCGUAAUGUCAACAAGGAUGAGGGGGAUUAAAUAUCUGGUGGAAUACACACAGCACAAGUAAAACAAAACUCUGUUAAAGAAGAAACCAAAUUUAUUGAGAUUAUAGUUUGUUUUCUUCUGGACACAAAGUAAAUGCUAACUUAAAAUAUCAAGCAGAAGAUGUUUGCUAGAGAAAAUGCCAAAAUCCAAGAAACAUUCAUUCCAUAAUUAAUGUGUACCCUCCCUAGGCCCUGAGAAAAUAAUUUGUUUUACCUAGAAACAUGAAGUAUCUUGCUCCUGGUGCCGUUGAGCAAUUGAAAUUGGUUAACACUCAUGUUUGGUGGGACUUGGCACAGAACAUAGUUUAGGCACCAUGCCAUCUGAACAGAUGGCCAGAAGCCUGGCAAGAAAGCCGGAUAUAAGUAUGUGACUGAAAUUUUAAAUGGCAGAGCCAGUUGCCAAAUCCCAAAUAUUUCCAGUUACCCCUCCAAAACUUCUGACUCAACCUAAGAUUAUGCCCUGAGCGCAUUCCUGCACUCAAAUCCCACUAGAAAUCUUCUGGCUAGAAAAUCUUGGUCAAUUGCUGAAUCAAAGGAGACUUUGAAGGAGAAGGGAAAGGUGUUUAGUUUGACAGUUGCUCUAAUUGUUUUUCUUUAAAUAACAAUAGUUUAAGACAGAAUUUCACCACAGUGACCAAUAUCAACUCUUUAAAUUUUAAAGUUCUUUUUUUCCUGACAUGCUAGUAGACCCAAGUUUCCUUGAAUGUACUUUCUUCCAGUGAGAAUGAGUUUUAUGGAGCAAUGCUCAUCCCAAAUCAUUCCAAUGUAAAGAAGCUCACCAGGAUUAGAAAUAAAGUACAUUCUGAAGAUUUAUCCCAUCACACGGCUAACUGGUGCAUAUAAAGUCUAGCCAUUGUCCUUGCCCUCUUUGAUUCUGGGUUUGAGCCACUUAAGCUGGCUAGUUUGAAUGAAAAUAGUUAACUCCUCUGUUACAUAGCCUUUCCAUGUCAACAGUCUGAAAACGUUUAAGGAAUGUCUUUUACUUUGGAGAUCCCUAAAGUUUCAACACAAGACUGAGACAUCCCUGGACAUACUCUCAGGCCACCUGAGACAAUUUUCCCAGAGUUCUCUGAAGUGCUAGAGAGAUUUGAUCAAAACAAAUUCUCAGAAUAGAGAAAGCCAUUAGACAAGCUGGCCUCUGUAAAAUUAGAGUCUUAGUUUUUGGAGCCAGAGACCUCUGACAACCUUGUAACAAGACUGGGACAUCUCAGAGAACUAUCUCUUUAGGCAAUCUAAAAAAUCCUAGAUCCUCUUGAAAUAAGUCCCAGAAUUAAAUCCUGGCAUAUACAGUCAACUAAUAUUCAUCAGGGGAGUCAAAAGUACUCAAUAGUGGAAGGAUGAUCUCCAAGAAACGGCACUAGGAAAACUGGAGAAACACGUGCAGAACAAUGAAAUUGGAACCCUAUCUCACAUCACUCACAAAAAUUAACUCAAAACGGAUAAAAGACUUAAACAUAAGACCUCAUACAGCACAAUUCCUAGCGGAAAAUAUAAGAAAGAAGCUCAUAGAUAUUGGUCUUGGCAAACAUUUUUUUGGACAUGACAAAAGCACAAACAACAAAAGCAAAAAUUAACAAAUGUGACUACAUGAAACUCAAAGCUUCUGCAUAGCAAAAGAAACAGUAAAAUAAAAAGACAACCUACAGAAUGGGAGAAAAUUUUUGCAAACCAUAUAUCAGAUAAGAUGUUAAUAUCCAAAAUAUAUAAAGAACUAACAUAAUUUAAGAAAAAUCCCAAGCAAUCCAAUUAAAAAAUGGGCAGAAGAACUAAGUAGACAUUUUUCCAAAGAGUACAUCAAAAUGGUCAGCAGGUACAUAAGAAGAUGCUCAACAUCACUAAUCAUCAGAGACAUGCAAAUAAAAACCACAAUGAAAUAUCACCUCAUACUUGUUAGAAUGGCUAUCAUCCAGUAGGCAACAGACAAUAGGUGCUGGCGAGGAUGGGGUGAAAAAAGAACACAUACAGUCCCUGUUGGUGGGGAUGUAAAUUAGUCCACCCACUAUCUAAAAAAAUAUGAAGAUUCCUCAAAAAAUUAAAAAUAAAUCUACCAUAUGAUCCAGAACUUCCACUUUGGGGAAUACACUGAAAGAAGAUGAAAACAGGAACUUGACAAGAUAUAUGCACCCCUAUGGUUAUCACAGCACUAUUCACAAUUGUGAAGAAAUGUAAACAACCCAAAUGCCCAUCAAAAAAUAAAUGGAUAAAAAAAUGUGAUAUAUAUAUAUACAUAUAAAAUGGAACAUUCAACUAUGACUAAGGAGGAUAUCCUGCCAUUUUGAUAACAUAGAUGGACCUUGAGCAUUUAUGUUAAUUAAGAUAUACCAUAAAAGGAAGACAAGUACUAUAUGAUAUCACUUAUAUGUGGAAUCUAAAAGAAUCAAAUAUGUAAAAAAACACAGAGUAGAAAUGAUGGUUACCAAAGAAUGGGGCAUGGGGAGAUAAGAUUGAUGGUGUUUAAGGGUAUGAAUUUGUAAUGCGUACUAAAGUAGCCAUAGAAAUUUAACUUACAGUUUGUUGAACAUAGACAACAAUAUUGAACUUUAAGUAUGCCAUGUAAUAAAUAUUGUUACAAUGGCAACCAUAUUACUGUAUAUAAAUGUAUCAAAGUAACAUGAUGUACACCUAAAAUUUACACAAUGUUACGCAUGAAAUUUAUCCAAUAAAAAAAAGUGCAGCAAAGAAAUAAAAGUGAUAAAACUGGAAGUAAAAUUCAAAUGGAAUAUAAAUGAAGUAUAGAAGAAAUAGCUGCCUGGGAAUAUUGACACUGUGUUUGAGAGAUUUUAGCUAUGCAGCCAGAAGAAGUUAGCAAAGGUAAAUUUAUUGAUAUAAAUGAUAAAGCUGUUGUGAUAAAAAAGGAUGAAGAUAAUGCGGAGGAAGUGAUGUCAGCAGAAACUUAUACAUUAAAGAAACUCUCGGAUGUGUUUCAUGACUGUCAAAGCACAAAGGAUAAAACAUUGGAAGUUGAUCCAAAUUUAGAAAGGAGUAUGAUGAUUUACUACAGUAUAGAAAAGUAUGUUAUACGAGAGGAAAGCAAGCACUGUUCAAACUAUUCAACAAUCUUUUUCAAAGAUAAACACCUUUCUGUGUUUCUUUCCAGCCAUUUUACGCAUAUGUAAUAUAUUUGCAUAAUUUGGGAGUUUGGAGAAAAAAUAUUUUUGUUCUUGAAAAUUCAACCCAGAGGCACUCUUGAUUUUUUUCUCUGCAUUUAUUUGACUAAAAAUAUGUUUAAAGCUAAUAAAGUAGUUUCCAAAUGAACAUGUCUAAAUCUAAAUAAAGGAACUCUGUCAAAUGAAUGGUUUAGACCAGAAGGCCUAACAAGUUUCCAUCUAAAAUAAUUGUUCUGGGAAUUCUAGUGCAGGAGAUGGAAGUAAGCAUAACUUAUAAAAAUUGUCCUGUGACCAAAUGUUUAGUAAAUACUUUAUUAAACUUUGCUGCAUGACUUAUCAAAUUGUGUGUGUGUGUGGUGUGCGGAAGAUUGCCCCUGAGCUACCAUCAUUGCCAAUCUUCCUCUAUUUUAUGUGGGAUGCUGCCACACCGUGGGUUGAUUAGCUGUGCUAGGUCUCUGCCCAGGAUCCAAACCUGUGAACCUUGGGCCACUAAAGUGGAGUGCACAAACUUAACCACUGUGCCACCAGGCUGGCUCCUCAAAGAAAAUUUUUACAAAAAAUUAAAAACACUUUAAUCCUUAAAGUUUAUAAAGUUUAAAAUUAC